rnacentral:rRNA from 1 species
UUCCGGUUGAUCCUGCCGGAGGCCAUUGCUAUUGGAGUCCGAUUUAGCCAUGCUAGUUGCACGAGUUUAGACUCGUAGCAGAUAGCUCAGUAACACGUGGCCAAACUACCCUCUGGAGCGCGACAACCUCGGGAAACUGAGGCUAAUCGUGCAUACCGCUCUCAUGCUGGAAGUUGCAGAGAGCUCGAAACGCUCCGGCGCCAGAGGAUGUGGCUGCGGCCGAUUAGGUAGACGGUGGGGUAACGGCCCACCGUGCCAGUAAUCGGUACGGGUUGUGAGAGCAAGAGCCCGGAGACGGUAUCUGAGACAAGAUACCGGGCCCUACGGGGCGCAGCAGGCGCGAAACCUUUACACUGCACGCCAGUGCGAUAAGGGGACUCCAAGUGCGAGGGCAUAGAGCCCUCGCUUUUCACGACCGUUAGUUGGUCGUAGAAUA